GACCUCUCAGGGUUGCAGCUGGAGAAUUUCCAGUACUCUACCAGUCUCGACUACAGGAGGGAGAGUCAAGCAGAGGCAUAACCAUUCCAUUCCUAGCUUGGGCAGUGGCUAGCGAGGGGAAGAAAAUCUGCUAGAAGU